UACGUAGGUGGCAAGCGUUGUCCGGAUUUAUUGGGCGUAAAGGGAGCGCAGGCGGUGACUUAAGUCUGAUGUGAAAGCCCACGGCUCAACCGUGGAGGGUCAUUGGAAACUGGGUCACUUGAGCUCACACGCAAGAGGAAAGCGGAAUUCCAUGUGUAGCGGUGAAAUGCGUAGAUAUAUGGAGGAACACCAGUGGCGAAAGCUGUGUAUUCUGGUCUGAAACUGACGC
rnacentral:rRNA from 1 species